rnacentral:rRNA from 1 species
CAACGAAUAUUCCGCAAUGGGCGCAAGCCUGACGGAGCGACGCCGCGUGAAGGAUGAGGUCUUUCGGGAUGUAAACUUCAAUAGUUGGCUGGAAAGCAAUUCGGGCGAACAGUCCGGAAAGUUGAUCGGCCAACGAAAGGGGUGGCUAACUCCGUGCCAGCAGCCGCGGUAAGACGGAGACCCCUAGCGUUGUUCGGAAUUACUGGGCUUAAAGGGCGUGUAGGCGGAGCGGUAAGUACCUUGUGAAAUCCCCGGGCUCAACCCGGGAAUGGCUUGGUAUACUGCCGUUCUUGAGGCAGGUAGGGGUCACUGGAACCUUAGGUGGAGCGGUGAAAUGCGUAGAUAUCUAAGGGAACGCCUGUGGCGAAAGCGGGUGACUGGGCCUGUCCUGACGCUGAGACGCGAAAGCGUAGGGAGCAAACG